rnacentral:misc_RNA from 1 species
AAGUCGUAACAAGGUUUCCGUAGGUGAACCUGCGGAAGGAUCAUUCAUAAUUGAGUGUUUUAUGGCACUCUUUAAAAAAUCCAUAUCCACCUUGUGUGCAACAUUUUUAGACACCCUGGCGCUGAUAUCUCUUUUAAGAGAAGGAAAGCCAGGAUGUUUGAUUAACUUAACUCAACUCCUUUAAAACAGUUUGUCUGAAUACCUAUUUCUGAAUAACAUAAUUCAAAAAUACAACUUUCAACAACGGAUCUCUUGGCUCUC